UGCUAGGAUGUAAGGAAAGGGAGGCUGAUUUAUCGUUGGUAGAAUUGUAAUUUAGCUCUACCAUCGUGGAUAUCAACGUGGGGCUUUCUGAAAAACAUACAUUAGACCUAUGUGCUCAUUAGUUUUUUUCAAACCUGACACAAGCCAGAGUCACCUGGGAAGAAGGAAUCUCGGUUGAUGAGUUACCUCUACCACGUUGGUUUGUGGGCAUGUCUAAGUGGCAUUUUUUCUCGACUGUUAAUUGCUGUGGAAGGGCCGAGCCCACUGAUAGAGGUGGGCCUGAAACGUAUAAGAAAGGUAGCUGAAUAUCAGGCUGAGAGCAAGCGAGUAAUCAGCGCUCCUUCGUGGUUCCUCACCCAACUUCCUUCAGUGGUCAACUGUGAUCAGGAUGUAAUGGCAAGAUAGCUCCGCAGAUGAAAGUGCUUGCCAUAGGCACCAAGCCUGAUGACCUGAGUUUGAUCCUCAAGUGGAAGAAAGAAUGGAUUCUAGGGAGCACCCUGACCCAAGGUGUGCCCCCGAUAACUAGGCAAUUCCUGCAGGCUCCGAUAUCAUCCUUCAGGGAACUCAACGUCAUCUUCUGCUCUGAGGCUGGAAAGACCCCACCCACCACACACAAACCAGUCAACCCGAUUGCAGCGGCCUCAGCUAUUCACUACCCAGGUCCUGGUGGCUGAGCAGCACCCUGAGCUUGCUGGAGGCUGCAGAGAGAUGCAAGCAUGAGUUGUGAAGCCUCCGCCUGCUCAGAGUGUGUGAGGACACGUACGUUGUUAUCCACGGAGGCACAGGUCUGAGAUGCCAAGCAUGCACCUUGAUGCCAAGUUCUGGGCAUUGAACUCAGGUCCUCAUGCUUGUGAGGCCAGCAGUUGACCAACUGAGCUUCACUCUGGUCCAGCUACAGCAAGCUUCUUCAAAGACCCCAUUUUCCCCACCAGUCUCACCCAUUGUCCAGAGCAUCUGACUUCAGGUCCUGCCUGCAGCAAUUACAGAUGAGGUAUUCAAAUGGACUCCUAUUUGUUUCUGCAUUUAUUAUUGGAGUCCAUCUGGAAAGAAAAUCAAGUGGACUUUCUGAAGGGUUAUCUUUGUCAACUUGACCUAGCAUAGAACCACCUUUGUAGAGAAACUUGGUGAAGGACUAUCUAGAUCAGGUUUGGGCUGUGGGGCUUCUCUAUGGGGGAUUGCCUGGAUUGCUUUAACUGAAAAACACCACCUGGCAGUGGAUGGCACUGUUUCCUGGCAUGGGCCCUGGAAUGUACAGGAACAGACAGAGUGAGCUGAGCUCCUUCUCUCUGCUCUUGACUCUGAAUGUGCCUUGGCUCAGUGCUUCAAGUCCUGCUUGUGUGACUUCUCAGCAAUGAUAACCUGGAUUUGUGAGCUGUAAACUCUUCUCUUUUCAGCUCCUUUUUGUCAAGAGAUUUUAUCACGGUGAAGGAAAUGAAACUAGGAUAGGAUGUUCCUUUUUAGAGCCCCACCAAAAAAGCUUUAGGUCUGCAGAGUAAAUGUUAGGGGACGGAAGUCCCAGAGCUCUCACACAAUCCAUGGUCUGUCUGAAACUCCCAGUCUGCAAGAUCUCCUAUUGGAGUGUAGUUCUUUUUAGUUUUUCUUUUUAAAAGGAUUUAUUUUAUUUCACUUUGGGCAAGAGACAUAGCUCAGCAGUCAAGAGCACCUACAGCUUUUCCAGACAUGCUGAAUGUAGCUUACAGAUGCCUGUGACUGCAGCUCUAGGGAAUGUGACUCCAUCUCUGGUUUCUGCAGACACCUGCACUCAUGUGCUCACACCCACAUGCAAACACAAAGACACAUACCCACAUACAAACACACAAUUAAAGAUAAAUCACUUUGAAAGAUUUAAAGUGUGUACAUGAGUGCUUGUGUUUGUGUGCAUGUAAAGGCAGGUUCUCAUGGAGGCCAGGGUUGUAGCUGGCUUCCCUAGAACUGGAGUUACAAGUGGGUGUGACUUGACCAAUACUGAUGCAGAUAUUCACACACAACCAUCGGACUGAGCCCAGGGACCCCAAUGGAAGAGCUA